rnacentral:tRNA from 1 species
AAAAUGUUAGUAAAUAUUAUUACACUGCCUUGUCAAGACAGAAUAACAAGUUAAACCCUUGUACAUUUUA